rnacentral:tRNA from 1 species
UCGAUAGCUCAGUCGGUAGAGCAGAGGACUGAAAAUCCUCGUGUCGGUGGUUCAAUUCCGCCUCGAG